rnacentral:sRNA from 1 species
ACACGGGAAGGAGGUGGUCGGAGACAUGAAGUUUCUUCGGACGCGUGAGGUGACUGUCCGCUAGUCGCCCGAGUACUCGGACGGAUUGCUCGAUCCGUUCGCAGAGCUCGGCCGGGGUCCAGGACCACGGCAGGGCGGCGAGCGAAUCCACGGCAGUCACCGCAGCCCGUGGGAGCCGCGACCUCGUCCCUCGCGGCAGGGCCCCGACAGGGGCCCGGCCCACGGGCUGUUCCCU